rnacentral:rRNA from 1 species
CGGACGGGUGAGUAACGCGUGGAAAACCUGCCGUAUACUGGGGGAUAACACUUAGAAAUAGGUGCUAAUACCGCAUAAGCGCACAGCUUCGCAUGAAGCGGUGUGAAAAACUCUGGUGGUAUACGAUGGUUCCGCGUCUGAUUAGCUAGUUGGUGGGGUAAUGGCCUACCAAGGCAACGAUCAGUAGCCGGCUUGAGAGGGUGAACGGCCACAUUGGGACUGAGACACGGCCCAAACUCCUACGGGAGGCAGCAG